GACGAACGCUGGCGGCGUGCUUAACACAUGCAGGUCGAACGGAAAGGCCCUGCUUUUGUGGGGUGCUCGAGUGGCGAACGGGUGAGUAACACGUGAGUAACCUGCCCUUGACUUUGGGAUAACUUCAGGAAACUGGGGCUAAUACCGGAUAGGAGCUCCUGCUGCAUGGUGGGGGUUGGAAAGUUUCGGCGGUUGGGGAUGGACUCGCGGCUUAUCAGCUUGUUGGUGGGGUAGUGGCUUACCAAGGCUUUGACGGGUAGCCGGCCUGAGAGGGUGACCGGCCACAUUGGGACUGAGAUACGGCCCAGACUCCUACGGGAGGCAGCAGUGGGGAAUAUUGUACAAUGGGCGGAAGCCUGAUGCAGCAACGCCGCGUGCGGGAUGACGGCCUUCGGGUUGUAAACCGCUUUCGCCUGUGACGAAGCGUGAGUGACGGUAAUGGGUAAAGAAGCACCGGCUAACUACGUG
rnacentral:rRNA from 1 species